rnacentral:pre_miRNA from 1 species
UAACUGAUGAGGGAAGAAAGGUCCUACAUGAGGAUGAAGAGCCGUGUUUUGUAGCCAAGGAUGACUUGCCUGCAACCUCCCAAAGGCCUCCGAAAAAUUUAUGUGUACUGUGAGAGAUAUGCUUGGUUAGCUUAGCUAGUGUUAGCUAAGCUAGCUAGCUAGUUUGCUAGUGGUUUAAGAAUCCUUGUCUGGUAUACAGGCAGUCUCCUUGGCUAUCGAGACAGGUUCUUUUCUCUCAUGCUGGGCCUCUUCUUCCAUGGGUCUC